CUUGCCAUUUUCAUCAACGACAGCCAUCCUACAAAGACAACAAGCAGAAAAAGAGUUCAUUAUCAUGGAUGAACAAAAGAAGCCAACAAAAUUGGCACUUUGGGAUAGUUUCAUUGAUCAUGAUGGGUCUAAACUUUUAAAUCAACUUCAUAUGUACCUAGUCAUUCUUGCAAUAAGAGUUUCAAAAGCAACCAUAGGAUCAACAAAUAGAUUCAAUGGUUUGUCAAACAGGUUCAAUACAACAAUUGAGAUCAAUCCUCUAUAUCCACAGGCGGCCACAUUGAAGA